GUGGCACAGUCCCAUCCCAGGGGGGCUCAGGGUGGUGGCACAGUCCCAUCCCAGGGGGCUCAGGGUGGUGGCACAGUCCCAUCCCAGGGGGGCUCAGGGUGGUGGCACAGUCCCAUCCCAGGGGGGCUCAGCCCUCCUGCAGUGCCAGCUGUGGCUCUGCUGGAGCAGGGAUCCUGCUCAAGGGGGGAGUUUUCCUCUGCAGCUCCAGGGCUGCUGGAGAUGGGCCUGCUCUCCCUCUGGGAAUGCAGGGCAGCAGAAAGCUGCUCCUCUGGGAAUGCAGGGGGCAAAGGCUGCUGGGCUGUUCCCAGGGCAGAUUGGAUCCAGGCAGGAAUGCUUGGCUCCUCCCCUGGGCACAGCAUCUCCCCAUG